rnacentral:rRNA from 1 species
GUGAGGAAUUUUCCGCAAUGGGCGAAAGCCUGACGGAGCAAUGCCGCGUGAAGGAUGAAGGCCUAUGGGUUGUAAACUUCUUUUCUCAGAAAAGAAUUAUGACGGUAUCUGAGGAAUAAGCAUCGGCUAACACUGUGCCAGCAGCCGCGGUAAGACAGAGGAUGCAAGCGUUAUCCGGAAUGAUUGGGCGUAAAGCGUCUGUAGGUUGUUUAAAAAGUAUUCUGUCAAAGAUUAGGGCUUAACCCUAGAUAGGCAGAAUAAACUUUUAAGCUAGAGUUUGGUAGAGGCAGAGGGAAUUCCCGGUGGAGCGGUGAAAUGCGUAGAUAUCGGGAGGAACACCAAAGGCGAAGGCACUCUGCUGGGCCAAUACUAACACUGAGAGACGAAAGCGAGGGGAGCAAAUGGGAUUAGAAACCCGAGUAGUCC